rnacentral:rRNA from 2 species
GGGUUGUGAGGUUAAGCGACUAAGCGUACACGGUGGAUGCCCUGGCAGUCAGAGGCGAUGAAGGGCGUGCUAAUCUGCGAUAAGCGCCGGUAAGGUGAUAUGAACCGUUAUAACCGGCGAUACCCGAAUGGGGAAACCCAGUGUGACUCGUCACACUAUCAUUAACUGAAUCCAUAGGUUAAUGAGGCGAACCGGGGGAACUGAAACAUCUAAGUACCCCGAGGAAAAGAAAUCAACCGAGAUUCCCCCAGUAGCGGCGAGCGAACGGGGAGGAGCCCAGAGCCUGAAUCAGCAUGUGUGUUAGUGGAAGCGUCUGGAAAGGCGCGCGAUACAGGGUGACAGCCCCGUACACAAAAGCGCAUGUGCUGUGAGCUCGAUGAGUAGGGCGGGACACGUGGUAUCCUGUCUGAAUAUGGGGGGACCAUCCUCCAAGGCUAAAUACUCCUGACUGACCGAUAGUGAACCAGUACCGUGAGGGAAAGGCGAAAAGAACCCCGGCGAGGGGAGUGAAAAAGAACCUGAAACCGUGUACGUACAAGCAGUGGGAGCACCCUUUGGGUGUGACUGCGUACCUUUUGUAUAAUGGGUCAGCGACUUAUAUUCUGUAGCAAGGUUAACCGAAUAGGGGAGCCGGAGGGAAACCGAGUCUUAAUUGGGCGUUAAGUUGCAGGGUAUAGACCCGAAACCCGGUGAUCUAGCCAUGGGCAGGUUGAAGGUUGGGUAACACUAACUGGAGGACCGAACCGACUAAUGUUGAAAAAUUAGCGGAUGACCUGUGGCUGGGGGUGAAAGGCCAAUCAAACCGGGAGAUAGCUGGUUCUCCCCGAAAGCUAUUUAGGUAGCGCCUCGUGAAUUCAUCUCCGGGGGUAGAGCACUGUUUCGGCUAGGGGGCCAUCCCGGCUUACCAACCCGAUGCAAACUGCGAAUACCGGAGAAUGUUAUCACGGGAGACACACGGCGGGUGCUAACGUCCGUCGUGAAGAGGGAAACAACCCAGACCGCCAGCUAAGGUCCCAAAGUCAUGGUUAAGUGGGAAACGAUGUGGGAAGGCCCAGACAGCCAGGAUGUUGGCUUAGAAGCAGCCAUCAUUUAAAGAAAGCGUAAUAGCUCACUGGUCGAGUCGGCCUGCGCGGAAGAUGUAACGGGGCUAAACCAUGCACCGAAGCUGCGGCAGCGACGCUUAUGCGUUGUUGGGUAGGGGAGCGUUCUGUAAGCCUGCGAAGGUGGCCUGUGAGGGUUGCUGGAGGUAUCAGAAGUGCGAAUGCUGACAUAAGUAACGAUAAAGCGGGUGAAAAGCCCGCUCGCCGGAAGACCAAGGGUUCCUGUCCAACGUUAAUCGGGGCAGGGUGAGUCGACCCCUAAGGCGAGGCCGAAAGGCGUAGUCGAUGGGAAACGGGUUAAUAUUCCCGUACUUGGUGUUACUGCGAAGGGGGGACGGAGAAGGCUAUGUUGGCCGGGCGACGGUU